rnacentral:lncRNA from 1 species
UGAUGGUACAGGAAAACAAAGGGCAUGCUGUAUCUUUGAAAGAAGCGCAAAAAGUGAAUAGACUGCAGGAUCAACUGAGUGAAGAACUAACAAAACUUAACCUGUCAGUGACUUCUUCAGCUAAAGAAAAUUGUGGAGACGGGCCAGAUGCCAGGAUCCCUGAAAAGAGACCAUAUACUGUACCAUUUGAUACUCAUUUGGGGCAUUAUAUUUAUAUCCCAUCAAGACAAGAUUCCAGGAGGGGGAAUCACUUGCAAGGUCCACACAAGUCCGCCUAUGUACUCUCUGGAUCGAAUAUUUGCUGGAUUUCGAACACAAAGUCAGAUGCUGUUGGAUCACGUAGAAGAACGAGAUGAGGUCCUCCACUGCCAAUUUUCUGAUAACAGUGAUGAUGAAGAAUCAGAAGGCCAAGAGAAAUCUGGAACUAGAUGUAGAAGUCGUUCAUGGAUUCAGAAGCCAGACUCUGUUCCCUUGUUGAAUUGAGUGAUACUCAGGAUGAAACACAAAAGUCAGAUUCGGAGAAUGAAGAUUUAAAGAUUGAUUGUCUCCAGGAGAGUCAAGAAUUGAAUUUGCAAAAAUUAAAGAAUUCAGAACGCAUACUUACUGAAGCCAAACAAAAAAUGAGAGAACUUACAGUUAACAUCAAGAUGAAGGAAGAUCUGAUUAAAGAAUUAAUAAAAACAGGUGUAACGAUGCCAAGUCUGUAAGCAAGCAGUAUACUUUGAAAGUAACAAAGCUAGAGCAUGAUGCAGAACAGGCAAAAGUCGAACUAACUGAAACACAAAAGCAGCUACAGGAGCUGGAAAACAAAGAUCUUUCUGAUGUUGCAAUGAAGGUAAAAUUACAGAAAGAGUUUCGUAAAAAGGUGGAUGCUGCAAAGCUGAGAGUUCAGGUCUUACAGAAGAAGCAACAAGAUAGUAAGAAACUGGCAUCACUGUCAAUCCAAAAUGAGAAACGUGCUAAUGAACUAGAGCAGAGUGUAGAUCACAUGAAAUAUCAAAAGAUACAGCUACAAAGAAAACUACAAGAAGAAAAUGAAAAAAGGAAGCAACUGGAUGCAGUAAUUAAGCGGGACCAGCAAAAAAUCUGUUAAACGGCUCAGAGCUAACGAAUCCAUGGUCUUCAUUCAGUUGGCUUGUGAAGUAUCUAUCCUUGACUUGCCCUUCACUGCUGUCCUUAUUCACUUUAAAGCUUUGUUCAUCUACAUAGUAAAACCUAUUUAUUGAAUUUUGAGUACUGUCUUGAAGGCUUUGACUUCACAAAAGAAGGUACAAUGAUAAUUUCUCUUAGGAGGAUCCUAACUUUAAUUGAAGCUGCCAAAAACAUGCAUUUAUAAAGCCAGCUUUCUAAAUAAUACCUAUCAUUUGAAUAGGAUUUUCUGUUUUCAAAGUGCUUUGACAUGCAUUGUCCAUGUGGCUACACGGAAAAAGUACCAGGUAAAGUGGUACCAUUUCAUUCACAGUGAGCAGAAAAAUGAUCAGACCUGUAUGCACAGCA